rnacentral:rRNA from 1 species
UCCCGUUGAUCCUGCGGGAGGUUGCUGCUAUUGGGAUCCGACUAAGCCAUGCAAGUCAGAGGGCUCGCAAGAGCACUGGCGUAAGGCUCAGUAACACGUCGAUAAUUUGCCCUUAGGCCUGGGAAAACCUUGAGAAAUUGAGGCUAAACCCGGAUAGAAGAUGAGUACUGGAAUGUCUUUUCUUCGAAAGGUAACACCUAAGGAUAAGUCGGCGGCUGAUUAGGUUGUUGGUGAGGUAACGGCUCACCAAGCCUAGGAUCAGUAGGGGGGAUGAGAGUCCUAGCCCCGAGAAGGGCACUGAGAUACUGGCCCUAGCCCUAAGGGGUGCAGCAGGCGCGAAAACUUUACAAUGCACGAAAGUGUGAUAGGGGGAUCCCAAGUGCUUUAUCUUACGAUAAAGCUUUUAUCAAGUCUAAAUAGCUUGGUGAAUAAGUGGUGGGUAAGACGGGUGCCAGCCGCCGCGGUAACACCUGCGCCACAAGUGGCAAUCAUUUUUAUUGGGUCUAAAGCGUCCGUAGCCGGUCUCAUAAGUCUCUUGUGAAAUUGUUAGGCUUAACUUAACAGCGUGCAAGGGAAACUAUAAGACUAGAGACUGGGAGGAGGUAGAGGUAUUCUAAGGGGAGCGGUUAAAUGUUAUAAUCCUUGGAGGACCACCAGUGGCGAAGGCGUCUACCUAGAACAGGUCUGACGGUGAGGGACGAAGGCCAGGGGAGCAAAACGGAUUAGAUACAAGAAAUUUUCUGAGAAUAAAUUUCUGUACAAGCAAGUAACUUUGAUCGAUAAAAAACUAUUUUACUUGUUAAAUUGGCAGAAAUUGGUGAUGAAAAUUUACUUGCUAAUUACCCGAGUAGUCCUGGCAGUAAACUCUGUGAGCUAUGUGUUGCAUAAUCUUAGUGAUUGUGCAGUGCCUAAGCGAAGGUGUUAAGCUCACCACCUGGGAAGUACAGUCGCAAGACCGAAACUUAAAGGAAUUGGCGGGGGCUCACUACAAGGGGUGAAGAGUGCGGUUCAAUUGGAUUCCACGCCGGAAAUCUCACCAGGGGCGACGGCAUGAUGAAGGUCAGAUUAAAGGUUUUACCUGAAGCGCCGAGAGGUGGUGCAUGGCCGACGCCAGCUCGUGCCGUGAGGUGUCACGUUAAGUCGUGCAACGAGCAAGACCCAUAUCCACUUUUACCAGCGGGUACUACGGUACGGCCGGGUACAAUGUGGAGACUGCUUUUGUAAGGAAGAGGAAGGUGUGGGUAACGUUAGGUCAGUAUGCCCCGAAUCUCCUGGGCUACACGCGCUCUGCAAUGGUAGAGACAAUGGGAUGCAACUCCGAAAGGAGAAGCAAACCCUCUAAACUCUAUCUUAGUUUGGAUUGAGGGUUGUAAUUCACCCUCAUGAAACCGGAAUCCCUAGUAAUCGGACUUCAUUACGGUCCGGUGAAUAACGUCCCUGAGCCUUGCACACACUGCCCGUCAAACCAACCGAGCAUGGCUUAGAUGAGAUAUGGUUUAUUGAUCCUAUCGAAUCUAAGUUAAGUAAGGUGGGUUAAGUCGUCACAAGGUAUCCGUA